rnacentral:rRNA from 2 species
CAGCGGAGCAUUGUGGUUUAAUUCGAAGCAACGCGAAGAACCUUACCAGGGCUUGACAUGCCGCUGACCGGUUUAGAGAUAGAUCUUUACCCUUCGGGGUACAGCGGACACAGGUGGUGCAUGGUUGUCGUCAGCUCGUGUCGUGAGAUGUUGGGUUAAGUCCCGCAACGAGCGCAACCCUUGUCUUUAGUUGCCAUCAUUAAGUUGGGCACUCUAAAGAGACUGCCGAUGACAAAUCGGAGGAAGGUGGGGAUGACGUCAAAUCAUCAUGCCCUUUAUGUCCUGGGCUACACACGUGCUACAAUGGUCGGUACAACGAGAAGCAAGUCAGCGAUGGCAAGCAAAUCUCUAAAAGCCGAUCCCAGUUCGGAUUGCAGGCUGCAACUCGCCUGCAUGAAGUCGGAGUUGCUAGUAAUCGCGGAUCAGAAUGCCGCGGUGAAUGCGUUCCCGGGUCUU